rfam:Triticum aestivum genome assembly, contig: Triticum_aestivum_CS42_TGACv1_scaffold_131162_2BL
UUAGUACUCCCUCCGUCCGGAAAUACUCGUCAUCAAAAUGGAUAAAAAGAGAUGUAUCUAAAACUAAAAUAUGUCUAGAUACAUUCUAUUUUAUCCAUUUUGAUGACAAGUAUUUCUGGACGGAGGGAGUACCUA